UUAAGAUGCUUAUCGAAAUAACCAAGAGAAAAGAAAAGCUCUGGAGAGUAUAACAAGAUUCAAAACUGAAGAAAAAACUUUGAGGAGAGAUUUUUUGUUUGUUUGUUUUAGGAGAAUAGAAGAGACCAGAAGAAGGUGAAGAAGAAAAUUCAUGAUCCAGAGCUUGCUCAUAUAAUUCUUUCGUAUACCAUUGGCCCAAAGUUCAGAAUUUAGACCAUAUGAGAGUCAAGUGAUGAAUUGGCUGUGGCAUUGCUGAUCCACAAAUGUCAGUAAGGACGUGUUGGGGGAUACAUUUAGCCAUGAUAACUGAUAAUACUUCAAGAGUAGGG